GACUGGACAUGUUUGAGCACAUCAGCCUCAUGACCCUGAACAGUCUGCAGAAAUGAGUCUUCAGCUUUGAUAGCAAUUGUCAGGAGAAGCCCAGUGACUAUAUCGCCGUCUUCUUGGAACUCAGUGCCUUUGUAGAA